AUCAUCUUCAGGCUGGAGUGUGUGAGUUACCCCAAUCAGUUUGAACACAUGGUUUGUUGCCAGCCUUGUGGACUCUGUUCUGAAGCUGAUUAGGAAGUGCCCACAAAUUUCUCCACCAGCAGAGUGGAGGAGGAGCUGCCCUGGGAGAGGACCAUGACUUGCACACGCAACUUGCAUUUCCACAAACUCUCUUGCUCCUUGUGUACCUAGCAGCUGUUGCAUGGUAGCUUGAAGGAAAAGCUGAAGAGAUCGUAACAGAGGGAUCCCUGGGGUGGGAAAGACCCCUUGGGAGAUCCCUGAUAUUGCUGAAGGCACCUUGAGCAACAGUCUCUGAAAAGCUCCUUUCUAUAUAAAUGAGGGAGUAGGGACUUAUUUCUAACAGUGUCUGCGUUACAGGGGUCUGAGUCCAAACAGAUUUGCAUUAAAAAAUAAAUAAGGAAAAAAAAAAAAAAAGUUAAGUGAGUAAAAUUACUCCUGUAGCUGUUUUACUCCUGUAGUUGUUUUACACAGCUCAAUGAAGAUAAUUUUAUUGGCAAUCAUGAGUGAUUACAGUAUUAUCUGCCAUCAAAAAAGUUAUUUUUUGAACGCUAAAGGAAUUAAUGAUACAUAAAACUGUGCUUAGAUUGAGUGCAUUCAUCAGCAGAAAUGCCUCGUGCUGGCACUGCUGCACUGUAAUUACUCUGUGUGCUCAGAGGAGGAGAGCAGGAGGUGGGGGUGUUGUGUGUGCUGCCACAGAUUUACACACACUGACACACUGAGCAGCUGGAGCAGGGGUAGCAGAGCCAGGACAGCAAAACUGGUGAGCAGGGAGACAAGUUUGACAAGUUUCACACAUCCUUUUUCUUUAUUGUGCAUUACAGAGUGAAGAGUGGGGGUAAUCUCUGUUUAAAACUUUACAGGGUGAAGCCAGUAUGGAUAAGAUGAUUAAAUGCUCCUCAGAAUACAAAGAGAUGAGUCCAGUCUUUGAAGGAUGCUGCUUCAUUAGCCAUUGGAAUGCCACAAAUCAUCAUGGCCCGUGGGAACAGCAAACACCUCAAUGGAUUGAUCAGCCCCUCCCAUUGUCUGCAUCUUCCCCUUCCCCUCUCAUCCCUCCUGGGCCAGCACCACCAAAGGGCUGGUGAGAUCACCCCUGUGCUGAAAACAAAUAAAUAAAUAAAUAACCAAAUAAAAAUGCUGACG
rnacentral:lncRNA from 1 species